rnacentral:rRNA from 1 species
GAUGAACGCUGGCGGCGUGCCUAAUACAUGCAAGUCGAGCGAACGGACGAGAAGCUUGCUUCUCUGAUGUUAGCGGCGGACGGGUGAGUAACACGUGGAUAACCUACCUAUAAGACUGGGAUAACUUCGGGAAACCGGAGCUAAUACCGGAUAAUAUUUUGAACCGCAUGGUUCAAAAGUGAAAGACGGUCUUGCUGUCACUUAUAGAUGGAUCCGCGCUGCAUUAGCUAGUUGGUAAGGUAACGGCUUACCAAGGCAACGAUGCAUAGCCGACCUGAGAGGGUGAUCGGCCACACUGGAACUGAGACACGGUCCAGACUCCUACGGGAGGCAGCAGUAGGGAAUCUUCCGCAAUGGGCGAAAGCCUGACGGGGCAACGCCGCGUGAGUGAUGAAGGUCUUCGGAUCGUAAAACUCUGUUGUUAGGGAAGAACAUAUGUGUAAGUAACUGUGCACAUCUUGACGGUACCUAAUCAGAAAGCCACGGCUAACUACGUG